GAGCCAACCCACGGGCAGUCGGGCACUCCCGCGACAUCUCCCGUGCGGCCGUGCCCGCCUUCUCUUUAUCCUAUCUAGUUUUUUUUUUCUAAUUUCGAGAUCGUGGGUACUUGGGAGGAGACGUCGGUUUCGCCCAGCUCACCACCCCCUCCGGCGCACGAGGCCAGCUCGCCGCCAACCUCCGCUGCACGAGCCUAGAUUCGCCGCCGCCGAGGGCCCUCCUUGCGACGUCUCGCUCCCCAUCCUCUCACCCUCUCAGCUCCCCGUCGCUACUGGUGAUGACGGUGGAAGACGAAGCGUGCCUGCUGCGCCUGGAGGAGCAGGUGGAGCACAACGGUGGCGGCGCCUGGGACUACCUCUGCCUCGCCCGCCGGUUCUGCGCCCGCCGUCCCACACGCCCACGUCCUCCGCGUCGACCUUGCCCUCCUCAACAAUGCCUCCGCGUGUUCCGGCCUCGACUCAGAAUAGUGGUCGUUCUGCAAGCAGGUGGCCAUGGUGGCCAUGGAUUGCCAGCGUCUCAAUGUGGAAAAGGUGAGGUUUCUUCUGUACCAUGUGACAGACAAUCACGUGUUAUGCUCUGUGAUUCAAGUUCCUGUUCUGACUAUAUUGGAAUCCUUUCAAAGCAAUAUGGUUACUGAACUCAACUUGAGUGAGACAUGCACCAUCUCCUACUCCUCCCCCUUCCCCUUCUUGAUCCAAUUUGAUGAUUCUAGUGCCGGAUGUGUUCCCUGCGGCCAGAAGCUCUUCUUCAAUUGCAGCAAGGUGAGAUUAUUUUGUUUGCCAAUGCUAGUUCAAUGUAGCUUUCAGUUACUCGUGGGAAAGGAUUUGGUGCUCUAAUUCCCAACUAGUAGCGUCAAUCAGGAUAUUAUGUUUCUAGAUGCAACCCAAGUUCAAUGAAAUGUCUGGCUUUGGAUGCUUGUUCCUGUAGAAUAUAUAUGCAUUUUAAUUAGGAUUAUCGCAUAUAAAUGCAAAUAUGGCCUUCAUUGAUUUCCUGAACCUGCUGCACAAAUAUUCAGAAAUGUUCUUUUCUAGCAAGGGUAUUUGCUGCUAGGUUUGCUAAAAUCCUGAAAUGAAGUGUCUGCUUUUCCCAAAUAGUAUUUUCAUUCUAAUUUACUUAAUUAGCUGAAGGUGUCCAUCUAGAGUUUACUAACUGAUAGUGUACAUAAUCAGUAUUUAAUCUUCUAGCUUUUGCCAGGACAUGUUUUGUAUUUGUUGUCUGCACAUCUACAGUGGUUGUGCUAAAUAAUGAAAUUAUUAUGAUUUUUUCCUGCCAUGGAACAUGAAGGACUAAAUGGCUACUGAUUUUUAGAUCUUAUUUUGGGCACGUCAAGUUUGGUAGAAGGGCAGGAGAAAGAAUGACGAUUAUGUUAUGAAUGUUUAGGUACUAAACUCAUAGAAGGGCAGGAGAAAGAAUGACUCAUGCUGACAUGUAUAUUUGCACUAGCCUACUCAGUGCUAAUGUUUUGUUUGAAAUAUAGUGGUCGAGAAAGUCGCAGAUUCUCUAUGAGGUAGCACAUGGAGACGAGGAUGGCACCGCGGCCACAGGCGACGAGGACAUCAGCCAGCAGAUCUCAACCCUCAUCUCGGCCCCUGUCGGACAGUGCUAAUGAUGGUGACCAUAACACAAACCCGUGUGCUUCCCAUCGCGCAUGUUGAACCCUAUUGAGGAGCAGAGGCAGCCCUGUGUUCGAUUCAUUUCUCCUUGCGAUGUAUGAUGGUGUGGCCGGAGCUUCACGAUGUCAGCCCCAUCCUUGCAGCUCUCCUCCAGGCGUGGCCACUAGAGUGGAUCUCUCUCUGCACCACGCUAGAUCCGAAGGUGGAUGCAGGCAUGUUUGUUCAGAGGAGAAUAACUGAGGCAGAUCGUUAAUCAAGCCCAUGUUGCAGACUAAACAACAACAUUUGGUUGCAUGGAGAACUACAAGAUGCCUGUAGAUAGGAAUCACAGCAUGCUAACACUCCUAUGCAUGCACGAACAUAAAGCUGAAUGCUUCCAAUACAGGCAAGCUCUAAUGAGCUAGAAGAUUUUGUGGCAGCAUGGUACAAAAUGCAUCAACCAUAGGUGAGAUUCCAGUUAUAAUUGAGGAAUUUCAUAAAAUACCUUUGAUCAUAUACCACUACUUGAUUUCAAUCUCAAAUUAUCCAAAUCAGAUUAUAUGCUAGUCAAUAGCAAGUCUCUUGGAUGUUGUUCGUGUGAAUGUUACUAUAUUGAGUUCUCUCACAUACUGGUUCAAGAAUGAGUUUCUUUAACAGUACCAGAUUGCUUCUACUAUUAAAGUGCCUGAUUAGAAAAACAAAUCCGCAACUUAUCAGCAUAUUUGCUUUCACUAUGCCAUUCCAUCUUGUAUAGCCAUCUGUUAGUUGGUAUCUCUCCUAUUAUUCUAAAUUUUAAUUUUACAUGCCAUGGCCUGAAAGUGGGGAUAAAUGCCUUUGUAAUAAUGUAGCACUUAUCUCUGUUCUACCAGUUUGUAAAGUUGCAACUGCAAUGUUGUGCCAUUGGAUUUGUAAGCUGUCAUCCCCAGCACAACGUUUAAACUCACAUUUCCUUUCAAUAUGAAAUAGUUCCUGAUUUGAUCAUUAAUUCAUUUUUGUUAUUUAAAAUUCAUUGUAGUCUAUUUUGUCUGAGUUCAUGUCCUGGACACCUCCAUAAAUGGCAACUGUGAGCAUGACAUUGUGAUAUUCAUGUAUAUGAAACCUUCUCCAUGCUCCUCUCUUGCUUAUGUAGUUUUUAUUUAGCUACCCAUUUAAGUCCACCUAAUUCAGUUCAGAUCUUACUAGGUGCGAACAAAAGUGGAUCUUGUAUUGUCUUUUUAACUCCUUGCCAUUUCAACUUAGUUACCAUAUUGCUUUGAUCCUUCUGAGUACUGGUGUUAAAUAAUCCACCUAUGAUAUUGCAAAGAUCAUGAGGAUUACAUUAAGAACUCUGCAUACCAACUCAAGUUUCUGAAUUUCUAAAGUUUCUUGUGUUUGUUUUCUUCAUAUUUGUUCCAGUGUGAAUCUAUUUGCCAUUGAUGACAUGCAUGGAUAGGUAAAGCAUCCAUGGAUGCUCAACCCCCAACUAUGGCACUGCAGAGCAACUCAGUAGUAGUUAGCUAUUCUGGUCAACUAAUCGGAGGGCUUAGGUGGUAUCUCUAUUUUCAAAGCGUAGUCGUGGUAUUGCCGGUACAUGAUGUUGCGCUAGCUGGCUGCAACUGAACUGAAUCUUCUUAGCUUAAGGAAUAUAUUAGUAUUUUUUCAUCUCAGAAGAGCUAAAAUGUUUGUUGUUAAGACCUAAUUAGCUACACAAUGCAAUAUCCAAAUAAAAUAUAGGGGGGUCUCCCAUGUUAAUGAAGAAGGAGAAGGUACAACUGCUACAAUAUCUUUGCAGUAGCUUAGUUAAUUUGUCUAUUACAUGUUUAUAGCUUGCUUAUGUUCUUGCACCCCCAAUUUUAUCAUCUUUUGUCCUGUGUUGAUAAAACUAACUUGCUUGUCACAAAUCAUGACCUAAUUUGCUCUUUUUACUUGGUGUGCUGAAAAUCUUUAUUGUCUUUCUAGCUUUGUAUAAUAAAUUUAAUGCCACUUGCAUAAUUGGAUAUUUUGCAUCCUGAAGUUUUGUAAUAGCAGUCUAGUAGAUGCGAGGUGUUAUUUGUUGGCUGUCCAUUGUGCGCUGAUGUAUAAUGUAUAUAUAGCCUCUACUCUUCGGAAGGUUUGUGGCAACCAUAGCCCAUAGGUGAAGUGCUUGAUUCGCUUCUGAGACAAUGGUGUUCCACCAGUACGCAUCUUCAUGCCUCCCCUGUGUUGAUGUGGCUCCCUUAUUGGUGCAAAGGUAUUAGUUUAAAUACAUAAUUAUUUAAACCAAAAAUUAAAUUCUAAAGACAUUAGGUGCUUAUAUGUGCAGUCAAGAUGUGCUCUAUUGGCUUUGCGCGGGUUGGCUCGGCCGUGC